rnacentral:lncRNA from 1 species
UAUUUGAAUUUCUUGGUUUUGUUUAAUUAUCCAAAAUCUUUCCAAGAAUAAUUGAUGGGUCCUCACCUAAAAAUCUAAAGCAAAUGAAGCUCAGCUUAGCUGAGUUAUCUUCUUCGAGUCAAAAUAGAGUGGAAGCCACCCAUAUCCCCCUGAGAUCAUCAUAGCUUUAAAAAAUUCUAGCUCUCCCACCUCUAUAAAAACCCCAUCUACCCCGUGAUGCCUAUCACCG